rnacentral:tRNA from 1 species
GGCUACGUAGCUCAGCUGGUUAGAGCACAGCAUUCAUAAUGCUGUGUUCAAAUCGAGCACAGUUCUAGGCCA